rnacentral:rRNA from 1 species
AUGCAAGUCGAGCGGUAGAGAGAAGCUUGCUUCUCUUGAGAGCGGCGGACGGGUGAGUAAUGCCUAGGAAUCUGCCUGGUAGUGGGGGAUAACGUUCGGAAACGGACGCUAAUACCGCAUACGUCCUACGGGAGAAAGCAGGGGACCUUCGGGCCUUGCGCUAUCAGAUGAGCCUAGGUCGGAUUAGCUAGUUGGUGAGGUAAUGGCUCACCAAGGCGACGAUCCGUAACUGGUCUGAGAGGAUGAUCAGUCACACUGGAACUGAGACACGGUCCAGACUCCUACGGGAGGCAGCAGUGGGGAAUAUUGGACAAUGGGCGAAAGCCUGAUCCAGCCAUGCCGCGUGUGUGAAGAAGGUCUUCGGAUUGUAAAGCACUUUAAGUUGGGAGGAAGGGCAUUAACCUAAUACGUUAGUGUUUUGACGUUACCGACAGAAUAAGCACCGGCUAACUCUGUGCCAGCAGCCGCGGUAAUACAGAGGGUGCAAGCGUUAAUCGGAAUUACUGGGCGUAAAGCGCGCGUAGGUGGUUCGUUAAGUUGGAUGUGAAAUCCCCGGGCUCAACCUGGAAACUGCAUUCAAAACUGUCGAGCUAGAGUAUGGU